rnacentral:rRNA from 1 species
AUGAAAGGAAAAUCCUGCCGAGGCAAUCGUAUUUGUUUUGGUAGAUAUGCUCUUCAAGCACUUGAACCCGCUUGGAUCACGGCGAGACAGAUAGAAGCAGGACGAAGAGCAAUAACACGAUAUGCACGUCGUGGUGGAAAAAUAUGGGUACGUAUAUUUCCCGACAAACCGGUUACACUAAGACCCACAGAAACACAAGGGCCACGGUGUGCUCCUCAGUACGGAGGGAGCAUUCCGUAUUUCCAUUGA